AACAAAAACCAAAAAAAGAGAAAAAAUGCAUCUAUAAGAAAUAACAGCAAACAGAUAAACAACACAAACAAACUUAAUUAUUUAAAAAUCCAGCCUUAUAAACAUGUUACUUGACUUCCUCUAAUCCCUCCCUUCUGAAUUUCCUUGUAUCUGAAUGUAACACUUUUCCAAUAUCAUUAUUAAACAACAAUAUUCCAGUUAUAAGCAAAUUUCUUCACUUUUCUUCGUGUUCUAAAUCCCAUUUAUUUAAUCCUAAUUUAAUCCUAGGCCUGUUUGGUACUUUCAAGUAACUUCUAGUUUUUAAUAUUACAAUAUUUAUUCAAAUAGUCCUUAAAUUUCCUCCAAUCUUCUUGAUAUUCCUCUUCUUUCUGGUCGCGGAUUCUUCCAGUCAGGUCAGGUAGCUCCAAAAAGUCCAUCAUCUUCAUCUGCCCUUGGAUCAACUGCAUUUUCUGGAAUGUUUUUCAAAGCAACCACAGAUGCAUUGCAAGGGUCCAAAUGGGAGGUUACCAGAGCAUGGGAAAUUGUGGCCAGGCUCUCUCCAUUCAGGUGGGGUCACAGCUUGGGCACUCAAGUUCCUGCUUUUUCCCGAGUUCUCAGAAUGAGCCCUACUCAUACACUUAUACAUGAUGUCAGGCACGCCCUCCAAGAUUACUCUGACCAAAAUUACGGCGCAUAUCUUUUGGUGUGUCGCUGCAGCUUGAGUCAGCUGGCUCCCGCAAGGCACGAGCUCCAGCUCACCCCCAGGACAUUCUGGGAUCCUGUCAGAAACCGGAAUGGCUUCUGUAAUUCCAUGAAUGUCCAGGGAAAAUAGGGGUAGUUGGAGUUAUGGAAGGUCUAUCUAGACCUUGAAGUCAGGAAUGAGGCCAACUGCUGCAAUCCCACCUUCAUCUUGUCCCUGUACUGUAGCAGCAGUUGUCAGGGAACUGCCAUCAGCUCAGGGGCGAGAGGGGACAAGGCGGAUGGAUUACAGAGAGCCCCCAAAGAUCGUGGGAAGCAGCACUUCCUCAGCGAAGGAAGGAAGCCACGCCUCUAGUGGGGAGGAGAUGCAGGGCUCGGGGGAUGCAAGGCGGUGCCAGGACACCUUGCCUGAGCAAAGCGGGGAGGAGGGAGGUCCCCCGUUAGCCAAGCCUUCCCUGCGCAGUAGGCUUUCACGCAGAGAGGGGAGGUGCAGACUGGGGGUCAAGUAACUACUCUGCUGGGGAAGAUUUAAGGACCGCCCACUCUCGGAUUCUGCCAGUGAAUGAGCAAGGCAUGAAAUAGAGGCACUCUGCAUUGUAAAGGGGUUUUUUUUAGCACCAAUAAGAAAGCUUUAGAACAGACUAGUGAGGCAUCUUGCCUGAUUGCUCUUGAGCGACCACCCGAUACCCUUAACAGCAGUGUAGAAAAAUUAAUUCUUUAGGUGCAGCUUUCCAAAUUCCCCAUGUAAUAUAUGAUUUUCCUUUGUAUUAUUUCAGCUACAGAAAGAUGUUUCCCCCAUCCUUCCUUUCCCCCCUAUUCACUCCAGUCUAUUCCAGAUUCUAGUCUGGGCAGCAUAGCUCAACUGUGCAGGAGGUUCUUAUUCCUCUACUUCUGUCCAUACCAGGUCACUCAACCAUUGCUACUGUGUCCUUUCUUCUAGCAGAUCAAGAUAAUCAGGUGACAGCAAGAACUGCACAAUUUUUAGCAGGGGCAAUUAGAAUAAGAUCUAUUAUUUGAUUAUUGAUGUAAACCUCCAGAGUGUAUUUUGUCUGGUUAAGUUUUUACCACUAGCUUCAGUACAUUAUAUUUUAUUUUAUUGCUAUGGCUAGCGGCUGAUGCAAACAAAGCUUCUUCUGAUUCUGUGCAGGAGCCAAAUAUAUAGGCCUGCAGCCAAAUAUAUGGGGAGUUAUCUCAAGGCAAUAUAUGAUCCUUUAUCUCUGCAGGAAGGGAGAAUAUGUCAAUUCCAGUUUCUCUCAGUUUCUCAUUUUUCCAAAUAUUAACUUCAGUUCUCCACAUUUCCACAUCAGUUGUGAGGGGGGUGUAAGUUUUCCUCACAGAAAUUUAUCAGAAUUUUAGCAUUGAUAUUUUCUUUUGUUUUUUUAAAUGAUAUUUAUUGAAAAAAUUUUGAAUUACAGAG
rnacentral:lncRNA from 1 species